GGGUGGGGAUGGGAGGGGGGGUGCGUGAGACAAAAAAGGAAAAUAAAAAAAUUUGUUUCAGCUAAAAACCCUCUACUCCACCCCCAUCACUUUUUAAUGGCGCGCCCUAUAUUUUGUCACGUAUACGUCGACAGGAAGUAAUUUCGUAUUCGGGCCUUAAGCUUCCAAUACUGAAGAGCAUACUACACUACAAGUAUUAAUUGUAAAAAUUAAAGUUAAAAGUUUAUUUGAGCAUAGUCCUAGCUAUAAUUUAACCAGAUAUGGAUGGUUGGAACAACCAGAUGAUGCUAGGUGGACUAUUAACCAAGAGUUCCUGGUUAAUAAUCAAUCCACCCAACAUAAUCUGGUUGUGUUUUCGCUCGCUACUCUGGUUUAUAUAAAUGAAUACAAAGCCCGGCCCAGUCGAAUUGUAAUCAAGACCCAACGUUUCGACACUCCAGUCUAGUGUCUUCAUCAGGGGUGAUCUAAAGUUGCAAUGUGGCUUCUUAAAAACUCUAUUUGACUUCAGGUCAUAUUUUCGCA